CAGGCAUGCGGCCCAGUCAGAGGGGCACCGCCCUGUGACGGCGGGGAAGCGGGUGCAAAUCCCGUCUGCCUGACCA
rnacentral:tRNA from 1 species